AUGACCAGGGAGCACUUCCCAUGGCUCUCCCACUGCAGGCUGACCUGGCUGCUCUCAGGCUGGCCGGACGGCGCGGCCGACGGCAUCUUGCUGUGGCUGGGCGGCAUGGUCUGCCGGGGGCUGUUGGGCAGCUCACUGGGGCUCACUGUGCCACUGCCCAGCCUGCUGCAGGGGUCGCUGGGGAUGGAGCUGGUGAUGGACAGGCUCUUGAAGCUGCCCAGGGAGCUCAUGGAGCUGCAGCGGCUCAGCACCAGUGGCGUCUCCUGCACACAGUUCUCUGACAAGCUGGACGCUGUGGCGUCCUCCACGCCCAGGCCCUGGCUGCGGCCCCGCCGGGGCACCUGGACGGCCAUGGGCAGGGAGGCGGCCCCUGGCCCCCACCAUGCCCCGUCCAACUCCGCCUCUUCAGGGCCAUCCUCCAGGCCCUUGAGGGAGGAGUCACUGUCCAGGUCUGCGGCCUCGCUGGGGCCUGGGCGUCUGGCCGAGAAUAGCGAGGACAGCGAGAGGGACCCCCUGCACCACCAGCCUCUGCAGUGCCCUGCUGGCCAAGGGUGGCCGGCCGGCCCCCAGCUUCUCAGGCACCUGGCUCAGGCCCUCUGCUGGCAGCCAGGACUGCUUCCGGGCCACGGAUGGGGGGGGCUCGGGGCCGCCAGGGGCCCCCGCGCCUGCCCUGCCCAUGGCCUCCAGCAGCGGCACGUCAAGGUCAAGGUCCAGCCGAGCGAGCCGCAGCUGCCCGCCCAGCAGCUCCUCGCAGCGCUCGGCCAGCGCGGCCAGCGGACAGGGCUGCAUGUGCUCCCGCGGGCAGUAGCCAUCGCUGGUGCUGCCGCUGUUGAGGUUGUCCUUGGACAGGCUGGCGUUGGACAGGCUGGCGUGGGCCGCCUUGAACCAGAGCAAGGGGUCCACCCGCCCCCCCCACCUCCUGCCGGCCACCCUUGGGGCAGCAGCAGAGCAAGCAGGACUGUGCCCGGCCCUCCCUCAGCGCCUCCUGCCCGGGGGUCCCCGGAGCUGAGGCUGAAGCUGUUGUCAGAGGAAGUGUGCAAGGCGGAGAUGUCCUCCACCAGAUGGUCGAUCCACGCCACCAUCAACGCCAGCUCGGCUUUGGCCUUGGCCACCAGGGCCGCCUCACCUGCCUGA
rnacentral:lncRNA from 1 species